rnacentral:lncRNA from 1 species
CCACGCCCAAAAAAAAAUAGGACCUGCUACAGUACCUCACCACAUAUGGAAAGGAAUUGUUCACACCCAAAAUUAAAAAAAUAAUUUCUCUCAUUUUUUAUCUCUUUCCUCUCUUGAUGGAUAGGUUCAGUGAUGGUGGUGGAAGGCGGCGCCACGGAGGUGGCUGUUGAUGGUAAGGGUAGAUCGACGAGGAUGGUGCCUGUCGUGGGUUGAUUUUGGUUGAAGGGGCUUAUCGCUCUUGCGAUGGUGGUGCGUGGAGGUCGUUGGCUGGACUGGUUGGCUGAAGUUAAAGAAAGUAGCCGAUCGGCCCUUUUCUU